rnacentral:misc_RNA from 1 species
AAACACUGUCACAGGUUUUCCAAAGAUUAAAACACAUUUUUUUGCUUGUUUUAUGUUUUUUUUUGGGACAAAAGUUAUUGGGCUUCCCUAAUAAUUGCAAUUUAUUUACACAAUUUGCAAUAUUCAUGAGACACUCUUUUGAUACUUUCAGGCGUAUGGGAAUUUGUAUGUUACUUUCUCUUUGAUAAUUCUUCCAAAUGUUGUGGAAAAUAAUUUUACUCAAUUCAAGACACCACUGAAUAGGGAUCCUUACUUAUGUCUCUUGGAAAAUAGAUAUCUUCAUAAAAUAUUUUAAAUUAAAUAUCCCCUCCCCCAACUUAGAUCAAUAAAAUUAUCGAGUUUGAUAUCCCAAAACCAAAUACAUCUAUAAAACAACACAAAGUGUAUGUCAUACCAGUCACUUGACUCGCUUUCCAUGUUAAGGACUUUAAAAAUAAAUACCAGGACAUCAAAUAUAAGUGAAUUCAGUGUGGAGAUUUUGAAUUGACUGACCAGUUA